rnacentral:rRNA from 1 species
UUAAACUAUAAUAAGAAUAUUUUGUUAAUGCCCGAAGCAAAAAGAGCUAGUUAGGUGUUAAGAGUUUUGUUAUUGUCUAGGGGAUAUGUUGCAAAAUAUCUCUUAAAAGCUUAACUAGGGGUGACAGGCUAUUCACUUUUUGUUUAUAUCUGGAUAAAGUCGAAAAAUAUUUAGUAUUAAAUACAGAUUUGGAAAUCUAAGCUUUCAAAUUACUAAAAUUUUGUAUAUAUCUUUUUUGUAAGUUAUUAAUAUAAAAACACUUGCUGGAAUUAAAAAUACAGUUACUCAGUUUUUAGCAAAUAGCCUUUUAAAUUGAUUAUUUUUUGUUACAAUUUAAAUAAUGUUUAAAUUAGUAUUUCUACCAAAAAACCAGAAGGAACUCGGCAAAUUACCCCUUCAACUGUUUACCAAAAACAUAGCUAGAUGGAAAGAUAUCUAGUGAAUCCUGCCCGGUGAUUAUUUAUUUUUUAACGGCCGCAGUACACUGACUGUGCAAAGGUAGCGUAAUCAAUUGGCUUUUAAUUGGAGUCCUGUAUGAAAGGGUUUUUGGGGGGGAGCUGUCUUCUAAUUUUUAAUUGUAAGUUGCUAAUCAAGUGCAAAUACUUGAAUUACUAUUAAUAGACGAGAAGACCCUACAAAUUUAUAAAAGUUUGUUAUUUAAUUUAAUAAAUUAUCUUUUUUGUUGGGGCAACAGGUUUAGAUUUUACUUUAUAAUUCAACUAUCUCUCUCACUGGAUAAAUCGAGCUCUGCUAACUAUAAAAAAAUUACUGUAGGGAUAACAGCAUAAUUUUCUAAAUAAGAUUGUGACCUCGAUGUUGGACUAGGGAAUUUUUAAAUAAACCAUUUAAAUAAUCGGUUCUGUUCGAACCCAUAUACCU